UUUGGAUGACACCUGUAAUGUGUAUGGCACAAGCAUGGAUAUAUCAGUUCAAAGUGCUUCAUUAGAAUGCCUGAUUUUGUGUUUCAACAAGAAGUACAUUUAUUCAUUUUGAAAUACUUAUUCUGCAUUUUUGUCUACCUAAUUUAUGUUGAUCUGUAUGGCUGCAUAGUUGGAUAGUCUGCUGUGGUAGAGCCCUCUCUUUUACACAUGCUGCUCUAGGCUUUGAUGAAUGUUUUUUGGAGUUUUCUUUUUUUAACUGUUGGGAGGCUUAUUAUGGUGGUCUGAGCUGCCUUAUCAAUGUUUGUUUUGCUGCAUUCUUACAAGAAGAACACAGAGCUAGGGAUCUAUUUUAUGCCAUUUGGGUUCCUGACCUUUUCAUGAAAAGGGUGAACAGCAAUGGGGAGUGGUCAUUGUUUUGCCCAAAUGAGGCUCCAAGUUUAUCUGAUUGUUGGGGUGAGGAAUUUGAAGAACUGUACACUAGAUAUGAAAGAGAGGGCAAGGCAAAAAAAAGUUGUUCAGGCACAGACCCUAUGGUUUGAAAUUCUGAAAUCACAGAUAGAAACUGGAACACCGUAUAUGCUUUUCAAGGUAUUUUACCAAGUGAACAAAAGAUCCUCCAUAAUCAUUUAAAUCCCAUGGUUGUGUGGUUUUGAUGUUGAUUUGUUUAUUUAGGACACUUGCAAUAGUUCACAGACUGUUGUGCCUACUAUUACUCCUGCAGUAGUUGGAGAUCGGAGGAUAUUUUUAGGUCCUGGAGCAGGUUGUGCCGGCCUUGCUGCACAGCUAGAACUAGGAUAUCGCCAAGCAAGGGAUGUUGUGUGUGCCAACAAUGGUAUAAAGGUUCUUUUGCAUCUUCUCCAUCCUAAGAUAUUUACACCUCCAGCUUCUCUCGACUGCCUACGCGCUCUAGCAUGCCUAGUCCUGAUUGGUUGAGCCAGAGACAAUACAAUUGCACACAUAUUAACAAAGCUUCAGUGUGACUUGCAUCCUAAUAUGGGCCACGUAUAAUCAAAAUCCUUCCUAACCUCAGUGCAAGCAUCUGUUUCAAUUUCUCAAUGUUCAUCGAUCACCAGAUGGAAGGUGCUCCUAUCAAUUUUAGAGAAGUUCUUCUCUAAGUUUCUGAACUUGCCUGAUGUAAAUAGGAGGUUGAGGAAGAUCAUCUCCAUCCUCUCAAGCAACCAGCCUCCCUACCCUCAGCUGUAUCUGUACAGCACAGCUGACAAGGUCAUUCCAGCUAAGUCGGCAGAGUCUUUUAUUCAGGAGCAGAAGAAAUCUGGGAGAAAGGUGAAAUCGAAUGCAAUGGUUAAGGACACAGCUUUCUUGGGGGCAUCGCUCUCUAAUCAUCUCAAACCUGACUUCAAUCCUCUUAUCAUGAAGAAACUCCAAACUGAAACUAAUACAAAAUUGGAUUAGUCCCAUCUUGUAGCCAGCAGGCCAGAGCUACCUGUUGAGGUUGCAGGGGCCUGCUACGCAUAAUUCAAAUGGAGAAUGCUGGUAAAUGCAAUGAUGACAUUGGCCUGAAAGCAGCAAAAGAUGGACGGGCAGUGUUAUCUCAGGGUCUGCCAAGCACGACGGCACUGGUGAUGACGGGCGCGACCAUGACUUUGUAUUAUUUGUGGAACCUAAUGUUAUGUAACAUUUUGAUUGA